rnacentral:lncRNA from 1 species
AGAGAGAGAGAGAGAGAGAGAGAGAGAGAGAGAGAGAGAGAGAGAGAGAGAGAGAGAGAGAGAGAGAGAGAGUUGGGCUAGAAUACUAUUGAUAGCAAAAGAACUUUUUUGCUAUCAAGUUUUUAGUUUUUGAAUCAAAUCCUUUCAUCAUUUCUAACCACUGGAUUAAAUAUUAUAACCCAGUGGGAACCACUCAAUCCUAAGGGGCUAAUAUCAUCCUAAUUCUAUAAUUUCUCAUCCAAGGGUUAAAAACUUGAUAGCAAACAAGGCUUUUUGCUAUCAAUAGUAUUCUAGCCUAACUACUCUCUCUCUAUAUAUAAGGUAGGCUCCUAUACUAUCUAUAGUACCGGGUCUUCGAUACUAUAGUCUGUUUUUCGAUCUUACGGUUUUCAAAUCAGUGAUCCACACUGUUAAAAAUGAUAUAGGGUAUUUAAAGUUUUUAGGAAUAAAAUUUUAUAUUUUUUCAACAUAGUUUAUGGUAUGAUCAAAUUAUUUCAAAAUUAUCAAUUUUCAAUAGCUACUAUGGCGAGUUUGGAGUUUAAUAGUAUAAAAAAAUCUAAAGUUAUUCAAAUUCUAAUAGAAAAUACUUUAAACUAUCUAGAUCAAGAUCAAUAUCCUUGAUCUUGAAUUCAAAAGUCCUAUUCUUAAAUUUUAAAAAUUGUUUAAUUUUUACCGUUCAUUUUGACAUGAUUUACUUACUAAGUAAACAAUGUUAAAAAAAAUUAAAAAUUCUAAGAACUUCAUAUAGAUCAUAUUUAACGGUGUUGAUCGUUUAUUUGAACACUCUAAGAUCGAAAACAAGCUUAUAGUACCGAAACUCCCGUAUUAUAGAUAAUAUAGUAGUCUCAUUCUACACACACGCGCGCACACACACACAUAUAGAGAGAGAUAGUAGGUCUUGUGUGCUAUUAGGAGUAUGGAGGCUUCCAUACUUCUAAGUCGUUUUCAACAAUAGAGCUUCCGAAUUGCUGAU